UACGUAGGCAGCGAGCGUUGUUCGGAGUUACUGGGCGUAAAGAGUAUGUAGGUGGUUUCGCAAGUUUGGUGUGAAAUCUCCCGGCUCAACUGGGAGGGUGCGCCGAAAACUGCGAGGCUAGAGUGCGGGAGAGGAGAGCGGAAUUCCUGGUGUAGCGGUGAAAUGCGUAGAUAUCAGGAGGAACACCUGCGGUGUAGACGGCUCUCUGGACCGUUACUGACACUGAGAUACGAAAGCGUGGGGAG
rnacentral:rRNA from 1 species